CCCACCAGAAGCCGUCCAAAGUCAAGCCAAAAGGCAGCCUUUUCACAUGCAGUUAAUAUGAAUUGAAGCCAUAUAAGGUACUAGAAUGUUGUUUUUUCUUAGAAGAAUGGAAGCAAGACUUGGAAGAAAAAAAAAAAAAAAAAUUAUU